rnacentral:misc_RNA from 1 species
UCCUGGUUAACCCAGGCAGUCUCAUUAGAGUUCCCAUCUUAAUGUUGGCAACUAAUGAUAAGGGUUGCGCUCGUUGCGGGACUUAACCCAACACCUCACGGCACGAGCUGACGACAGCCAUGCAGCACCUGUGCAGAAGCCCCGAAGGGAGAUUACAUUUCUGUAACUGUCUUCUGCAUGUCAAGUCUGGGUAAGGUUUUUCGCGUUGCAUCGAAUUAAACCACAUGCUCCACUGCUUGUGCGGGUCCCCGUCAAUUCUUUUGAGUUUCAGCCUUGCGACUGUACUCCCCAGGCGGUAUACUUAUCGCGUUAGCUUCGGCACAACCGGGGUUGAGCCCAGUUACACCAAGUAUACAUCGUUUACGGCAAGGACUAC